AGUUGAGGUAGCUGGAAUGAGUAGUGUAGCGGUGAAAUGCAUAGAUAUUACUCAGAACACCGAUUGCGAAGGCAGGUUACCAAGUUAUAACUGACGCUGAGGGACGAAAGCGUGGGGAGCGAACAGGAUUAGAUACCCUGGUAGUCCACGCCGUAAACGAUGCUAACUCGUUUUUGGGCUUUAGGGUUCAGAGACUAAGCGAAAGUGAUAAGUUAGCCACCUGGGGAGUACGACCGCAAGGUUGAAACUCAAAGGAAUUGACGGGGGCCCGCACAAGCGGUGGAUCAUGUGGUUUAAUUCGAUGAUACGCGAGGAACCUUACCAAGGCUUAAAUGGGAAUUGACAGCUGUAGAAAUACGGUUUUCUUCGGACAAUUUUCAAGGUGCUGCAUGGUUGUCGUCAGCUCGUGCCGUGAGGUGUUAGGUUAAGUCCUGCAACGAGCGCAACCCCUGUCACUAGUUGCCAUCAUUAAGUUGGGGACUCUAGUGAGACUGCCUACGCAAGUAGCGAGGAAGGUGGGGAUGACGUCAAAUCAUCACGGCCCUUACGCCUUGGGCCACACACGUGAUACAAUGGCCGGUA
rnacentral:rRNA from 1 species